GCUUGUUGCUCGAAGGAAAGUCGGCGCUAGUGUUUAAAAAAAAAAAAAAAAAAAAAAAAAAAAAAGUAUCGCGUUAACCGUAAAGGACGUGCUCUCGCUUCAAAUGCUGUUCGGACGAUAAAAUGUAUAAUAGUGCGUCGAGUUUUUAAUUUGAUGUUUAAAAUAAACUCGUUAGUAUAUAUAAAUCUCUCUAUAUAUUCGCUCCCAGUUUGGCUGUACUGGGUGGGUUGCCGUGUCGGCUCGUGACUGUCGGUGAGGCUAGCGGCGAGAUUUCGUGGCGAUGAGCGUUCAACAGCAGGAAGUGCUUUUCAGGAAGCAGGAGCCAGAGGAAGGGUGAGGUCGGAUAAAUGUUGGAUAAGAAGGCAGACUUUCGUUUUCAUGUCACGAGAAAUCUUGUUCAGGACUGGACUGAGAUUAUGGUUCAGUACUGAGAUUGGUGGUUUAGUGAUAGUCAGGGUUUUUUUGUGUUUAAACAAUACUCACUGAGCUAAUAUGCAGUCCCUAUUCUCUAGACUAUUUUAUAGUGUUUAAAAAAAUAUAAUAAUUUUUGUACGAAUGGAGGGGGGAGACUGAGAUGAAAGGAAUAACACUUUAUUUAAACUUGGUCAUGAUUCACAAGUAUGUGGAUUAUAUUCGGAAAGGGUUUAUCAUUGUGAAAGUGUAAAUGCAGCAAGUUCACCUUUAAAGCAGAUUUAAAUCUGAUUGCUCAAAUCUACUUCAUAAGAGAUUUUGAAACAUGUUCUUCCAGGGUAAAUGCGUUGUACGUUCUCGCCACAUUUGACAACCAAAAUAGUCCAUUAUAACAUGCUCUAGACAGUAUUAUUAUAUCUUAAUGUGCACAAUGUUUUAUUGAUGAAGGUGAUUGAAACCAGUGCACAACUUAACGGUGAACUUAACCUUUGAAUAUCCUGUUGAGGAAUAAUAAAUGCAGAGAGCAUUUUGUCAACUGUUACAAUAAUAUAUAAAUACAAGAGACUCGUUAAAUAAAGUGUACACGCAUAUGGAUAAAAUCUUUUUCAAUUACAAUUCAGAUACAAGAUGCACGAAACAACCAGCUUGUAAACUGGAUUGUGAUUAUAAUUUUGUCAUUUGUACAGUAUUUACUGAACACUAAUUGGCAAUAACCAUAUAACCAUAUAAUCAUAAGCACAGUGUGUGUGUGUGUGUGUGUGUGUGGUGUGUGUGUGUGUGUGUGCGCCACAGCAGAUACAGCGAGUUCAGCCGUUUUCAUCAGGGCAGAUCAGUACUGGCCUAAUUUAAACACAACGCCUCUGGCUCAGAAAACUCAAUUACAGCAUCAUUUGACCAUUUCAGCAUAACCAGCGAUCAUGCAUUGGGGCUUUUAGCAUGAUCCAUAAUUUCUAUUUUAAGCCAUAUUUUGAGAACCUUAAGCAAGAAGUACCAGUUCUUUUCCACAUUUGAAUAGGGAUAGUGAAGAAUUUGAUACAAUAUGUUUCAAGGUUAAAGGGGAUAUUAUAUGUAUCUCAUGUCUGAUCUGUACCUAUUUAACACAAUAUAGACAAGCCAAAGAAACUGCAUGGCAUCAUUCAGUUAUAGACCUUACAAUAGGUA
ensembl:lncRNA